rnacentral:lncRNA from 1 species
AGCACCAUCUUUGGAGUCUAGCUAACACAGCAUCUUGGAUGCACUCCUAAGAGAAGACUACCUGAAAGGCGUGUACACUGGUCUAGCAGUUGAGAUCAGCUAGUGUUCCAUCUAUCUUCUGUCAUGUAUCUCUUCUAAGAUGUCUUGAUCGACUGACCCCAAAGCCAGAGGGUACCAGGUCAAAAAGCAAGAAAACAAACAAUACUGACAUUAGAGAGAAGCAAAGUUUCUAUAGAAAACCUAUUACACUGUGGUAUAAAUCAAGAUGAACCUGCAGACAUCUAUUUUAGUUUGGAAGUCUGGAAAAGUUCAAGAUUGGCCAUCUGCAGCUGGUGAGAGCCUCAGGCUGCUUCCCCUCAUGGUGGAAGGUGAAGGGGAGCUGGUGUGUGCAGAGAUUACAUGCAAAGGUGCUGCUGGUUACUCUUGGUUCAUCUAGCAAUAGAUGAUCUGAAUGUUAGAGUUCGCCAAAUAUUGUUCCUGGGCAGUCUUUGCUCUACCAAAUCAACUUUCUCCAUGGGGGAGCUAGAAGUCACCCCACAUUCUCCGCCAUGGCCAGCUCUACAUUCUAAGAGAACCAAUGGCUCUACCCAACAUAUUCUUCUCACCACAGAUGACAAAGACACAAGGAGCCAAGACAGAUCAUUCAAGCAUAUUCAUUGCCUCUAUCUUCAUCCCAUUAAAUAACAUCCCGCCAACCAAA